AGGUUAGGGAAAUUUAAUUCAUAUGUACUGUUCAUUUCCCCAAUGACUAAUUUUACGAUUGCUAGGAUUUAUCAACUGUUCAGCUCCCUUCAAUCAAGACAUUUUGGGCAGUAGAUUUCUGUACAAAACUCCCAGAUUUCUCAACUUGCUUAGAACUGUGCCCUGUGCUGGAAUUGAUAUUAACUGUGCUAUUGGAUGCGUGAUAAGAUGAUAACUUCUUGUCUAACUGUUAAGCACGAUUGUUGCUUUUACCCAAACAAAUAAACAGACCAACAAGGCAUCUCUGAUCAGCUGAAGGUGAGUUACAUAUAACAAGGCAUAGUCAGAACUGCAUUGGAGACUCCUGAGGUCAAGCUUAUCUCACAUAUGUUGAGAUAUUCUAUCAAUCACUGGCCUAUGGUGGGUGCCUGUGAGAUCAACCUGCCUGACUAGUGGUCUUUCUUAUGUGCUUAUUUUGCAUAAAAGUUGAAUGAUGUAGUUUGCUGCGGGUACAUAAUUCCUAAAAAAUUGGCUAGCUGAUUUCCUAGUGUAGCCUUUAUGUCAUCCAUAUGAUUGUGGUGAAAGCAGUAUUUUGUAUUACAUGAUAGAGUUAAUUUUGGUUGGAGGUAAACCAAAUAUGACAAUUAUCUGGAAGAAUUGAGUAA